GCAGGUAAUGUUAGCUAAAAGAUGACUAGUUAAUAACAAUACAUCACGUUAAGCUUGUUAUCAAGUGGCCUGUAGACUACUGAUGUUGUCUAGAUUCAUUUUGCGCCCCCAAAAUAAGUCGACGCCACCCCUGUUAAACUCGUCUGGAGCCGGUGCUGGUCCAAACUCCGAUCCGGUUUCUAAAUGCACGAUCUGCGGCGCUGGGGGGCGAACUUUGAUCGCUGUUUUAUGUCUUUUCUUUGAUUUUUUUUACUUGUUUUAAACAUCCAAUCAAGUCAAGUCUCCCGCUGCACAGAUCUGACGGUGUACGUCUUCCUGCGCGCCGACGCACACGCCCCUUUUUCUUCACUAAUUUCAACCACACCUAAAACCAGCGUGAUGCUGCCCACAGUCUGUUUUAAACAGUGGAAAUACGGAAUAAUUUAACAGCAACUGUUCUACAAAACAGUUUGAUACAUUUGCUUCUUUGAUGUAUUUAUUCAGAAGAAAAAGAAAAAAACCCAUAGUGGUUAUGUUACCCAAUUUUUACAUAAUAAAUGUAGGAAACCUAUGUCUUUCUUAAAGGGUUAAAAAAAAAUAGACCCUGUAUGUUGGGUUCUGCAGGGAAGUGGUUUUUUUCUUCUUGUUUAAAUUUAUUGGGGGUUGGCAAAAAACGUUGGGUGAGCAUUACCGCCACCAACUGGUAAGGAGUGUGGACCACAUGACAAAACAGGGGGGUGGUUUUCUUCUUCUUCACAGGGUGGCAGGCUGAUGGGAUCCAGCUGCUACUCAUCACCACCAAUCUGCAAGGUCCUUAAAGAGGAGCGGCCACAGAUGCCAGAUGGUUCUGCUUCUACAGUGUGAACCCGCGCUGAACACUCUCUGAACCAGGACUCACCUGAAGUAUCUGAUCCUCGCUGCUCCGUUGGGCCUUGCACCUGGGUGCGUCACGCCCACCACUCAGCUGCUGCCUGUCCGCCCCCAAUCACCUGCUGGAACUUCCCCAUCUGGAAAACCACCACAUCACACCAACUGUUGGACCCCCAUGUACUUACCUCUACCCGCAGACCUUCCUCCCUGUUGUCGCAGAUCGACGCCCCUCCACACGCUCUCCAGCACAUUCUACUGCUAAAUAAAUCUGUUAAAACUG